rnacentral:rRNA from 1 species
AGUGAACGCUGGCGGUAGGCCUAACACAUGCAAGUCGAACGGCAGCACAGUAAGAGCUUGCUCUUACGGGUGGCGAGUGGCGGACGGGUGAGGAAUACAUCGGAAUCUACUUUUUCGUGGGGGAUAACGUAGGGAAACUUACGCUAAUACCGCAUACGACCUACGGGUGAAAGCAGGGGAUCUUCGGACCUUGCGCGAUUGAAUGAGCCGAUGUCGGAUUAGCUAGUUGGCGGGGUAAAGGCCCACCAAGGCGACGAUCCGUAGCUGGUCUGGGAGGAUGAUCAGCCACACUGGAACUGAGACACGGUCCAGACUCCUACGGGAGGCCGCAGUGGGGAAUAUUGGACAAUGGGCGCAAGCCUGAUCCAGCCAUCCCGCGUGGGUGAAGAAGGCCUUCGGGUUGUAAAGCCCUUUUGUUGGGAAAGAAAAGCAGCAGGUUAAUACCACGCUGUUCUGACGGUACCCAAAGAAUAAGCACCGGCUAACUUCGUG